AUUGAACGCUGGCGGCAGGCCUAACACAUGCAAGUCGAGCGAGCGGCGGACGGGUGAGUAAUGUCUGGGAAACUGCCUGAUGGAGGGGGAUAACUACUGGAAACGGUAGCUAAUACCGCAUACCAUCAGAUGUGCCAAGAUGGGAUUAGCUAGUAGGUGGGGUAACGGCUCACCUAGGCGCCGAUCCCUAGCUGGUCUGAGAGGAUGAUCAGCCAAACUGGAACGGAGACACGGUCCAGACUCCAACGGGAGGCGGCAGUGGGGAAUAUUGGCCAAUGGGCGCAAGCCUGAUGCAGCCAUGCCGGGUGUGUGAAGAAGGCCUUCGGGUUGUAAAGCACUUUCAGCGGGGAGGCGUUACCCGCAGAAGAAGCACCGGCUAACUCCGUGCCAGCAGCCGCGGUAAUAC
rnacentral:rRNA from 1 species